rnacentral:rRNA from 1 species
AUUGAACGCUGGCGGCAGGCUUAACACAUGCAAGUCGAGCGGGGGAAGGUAGCUUGCUACCGGACCUAGCGGCGGACGGGUGAGUAAUGCUUAGGAAUCUGCCUAUUAGUGAGGGACAACAUCUCGAAAGGGAUGCUAAUACCGCAUACGUCCUACGGGAGAAAGCAGGGGAUCUUCGGACCUUGCGCUAAUAGAUGAGCCUAAGUCGGAUUAGCUAGUUGGUGGGGUAAAGGCCUACCAAGGCGACGAUCUGUAGCGGGUCUGAGAGGAUGGUCCGCCACACUGGGACUGAGACACGGCCCAGACUCCUACGGGAGGUAGCAGUGGGGAAUAUUGGACAAUGGGGGGAACCCUGAUCCAGCCAUGCCGCGUGUGUGAAGAAGGCCUUACGGUUGUAAAGCACUUUAAGCGAGGAGGAGGCUACUUUAGUUAAUACCUAGAGAUAGUGGACGUUACUCGCAGAAUAAGCACCGGCUAACUCUGUGCCAGCCGCCGCGGUAA